rnacentral:ncRNA from 1 species
AUCAUAUAAGGUGUUUUUAACUUAAUAGGGAAUCAGGUUUAAUCCUGAGCUACCCCAGUAACCGUGUAAUGGACGAAAUCUUAAAAUACCACUGUCUAGAAAGAUGGGAAGGGAAGAGAGUAGAAAGAAGUAAAGCCGGGAGACCUGCCUAAUAUGUUAG